AAACUAUUGCGAGGACACUCUCUUAAUAAACCUUUAAAUCUAUCUCAUGCUUCAAAUAGUGUUUCUCCAUCUGUCUAAGAAAAAUUUGUAAUGCAAUUCCUCAUGUAC